CUCAAACAAAACCCCUUAGAAAAACUCACCAUUGAUAUCCAUCUACUCAUAAAAGAAAAAAUGGCAAUUCUCACCUUCUCCUUGUGUUGUUCCAAACUCCCCUCAAAUCAAAAAACUCACACUCUCCAUCAUCAAUCAACUCGACAUGUUUCUCUAAAAUCACCUGACAUACAGAAAAAUAGUUUCAUAUCUUUAGGUGAAUCAUUUUCAAGAGCAAGUUUUCUUGCCAUUGUUUCUGCCUCGCUCGUUUUUGCAUCAAAUCCCGCUUUAGCAUUCAAAGGCGGAGGUCCAUACGGAGCUGGAGUAACAAGAGGCCAAGAUCUUACAGCUAAAGAUUUCAGUGGACAAACAUUAAUCAAGCAAGAUUUCAAAACUUCUAUACUCAGACAAGCUAAUUUUAAAGGUGCUAAGUUACUCGGAGCUAGCUUCUUUGAUGCUGAUUUAACUGGUGCUGACCUUUCUGAUGCUGAUCUUAGAGGUGCUGAUUUUUCGUUAGCUAAUGUGACGAAGGCGAAUUUAAGUAAUGCUAACUUGGAAGGAGCACUUGCAACUGGCAAUACAUCUUUUAAGGGGUCGAUUAUACAAGGAGCAGAUUUUACCGAUGUCCCUUUAAGAGAAGAUCAACGCGAAUAUCUUUGUAAAGUUGCUGAUGGGGUGAAUCCAGUAACCGGUAAUGCAACACGAGAGACAUUGCUUUGCGAAUAGUUAAGCUUUGGAACCUUGAACUUUUUAAAGGGAGUAGGUAAUAUCACUUCUCCACUUAUGCCCUCUUAUCACAAAAGGUUCAAGAUUCCAAAGCGUAGCUAUAAAGGAGGGUAUUGGACCAGCAUUAGUUCGAGCAGCAAAGUACCUUACAUGGAUUAGAAAUUGUAUUUCACUGGGAAAAGUACCAUCAAUGUUGAUGGCUUCUGAAUUCAACAAUUUAACAAGUUUGAACCUGUCAAAGAUGAAGGAGAUAUCAUGCUGCCAUAACUAGCUAUCCUGAUUGAUCUCAUUGAAUAGUAAAGGCACCACUUCAAGUGAGAUUGCAGCCAUACACCAAUCUGAUCCUGAAGAGAGAUGACAAGUCCCGGCCUUCAUUCACUGCUAGAGAGUGGUGGGAGGAGUGCAAAAUCGAGCUCAACCAGUAUCCACAUAUCAGCUUCAGAUGACAUAGUUAUAUGAGCUCACUCUUUACCAUGGCUCUCUAUCUUGGCCUGCCCUUAAACCCCACCAAGCCAAGUGCUGCAACAAACCUCUGCAUUGAUGGUCCAGCAGGAUCUAUGGAUCUUAUGACUUCCUCGUUCAACAUUCCUCUUUUCCUGUGUAGUUGGCUUUGCCCAGAAACUGGAUAGUAGGCAUAAAGGAUAAAAGCAGCAGUGUAAUGAAUAAGGAUAUUAGCCGCUGGAUCACUAAAUGGUGUAAGUCAGGUGCCAUUACACCAGUGGUGAUAUUAGCUGCUAGCUUUAUAUAUAUCUAUAGUUUUGCAUGCCUUUAUUUGUUUUGAGUAUUUAUCACUAAAUGGAUUUUCUUACCUCUUUCGAGAAAGUAAUGUCUUGAGAACAGAAAGUUUGUUUCAUUGCCAAGUUUGUAGCUUAGUCAUUG